UACGUAGGUGGCGAGCGUUGUCCGGAUUUACUGGGCGUAAAGGGCGUGCAGGCGGUCUGCUAAGUCUAGGGUGAAAGCUCCCGGCUCAACUGGGAGAGGUCCUUGGAUACUGACAGACUUGAGGGAGGCAGAGGAGAAUGGAAUUCCCGGUGUAGUGGUGAUAUGCGUAGAUAUCGGGAGGAACACCAGUGGCGAAGGCGGUUCUCUGGGCCUUACCUGACGCUGAGACGCGAAAGCGUGGGGAGCGAACAGG
rnacentral:rRNA from 1 species